rnacentral:rRNA from 1 species
UACGUAGGAUGCAAGCGUUGUCCGGAGUUACUGGGCGUAAAGCGCACGCAGGCGGUCUGUUAAGUUUGGAGUGACAGUUGGUGGCUUAACUGCCAAAGUGCUUCGAAAACUGACAGACUUGAGGGCUUCAGAGGGACACGGAAUCCGGGUGGAGUGGUGAAAUGCGUAGAGAUCCGGAGGAACACCAAAGGCGAAGGCGGUUAGCUGGGCAGUUGCUGACACUGAGGCGCGACAGCGUGGGGAGCAAACAGG